rnacentral:rRNA from 1 species
UACGUAGGGGGCUAGCGUUGUCCGGAUUUAUUGGGCGUAAAGAGCGUGUAGGCGGCCAGGUAGGUCUGCUGUGAAAACUCGAGGCUCAACCUCGAGACGUCGGCGGAAACCAUCUGGCUAGAGUCCGGAAGAGGAGAGUGGAAUUCCUGGUGUAGCGGUGAAAUGCGCAGAUAUCAGGAAGAACACCCGUGGCGAAGGCGGCUCUCUGGGACGGUACUGACGCUGAUGUGCGAAAGCGUGGGGAGCAAACAGG